rnacentral:rRNA from 1 species
UACGUGAGGGCAAGCGUUGUCCGGAAUCAUUGGGCGUAAAGGGCGUGUAGGCGGUUUGUUAAGUCAUGUGUGAAAUCCCUCGGCUCAACCGGGGGAACGACGCAUGAAACUGGCAAGCUAGAGUACCAAAGAGGGUGGUGGAAUUCCCGGUGUAGCGGUGAAAUGCGUAGAUAUCAGGAAGAACACCGGUGGCGAAGGCGGCUCCGCUGGGCCAGAUCCGACACUCAGCCGCGAAAAGCGUGGGGGAGCAAACAGG